UCAUAGCCCUGAUUGCAGCGACAUCCUUUUGCGAAGCAAAAGAUACAGCGGAAAGCAGGUUCCCGG
rnacentral:sRNA from 1 species